CUCAAUGCCAAAUAUGUGGUAUCAAGAUAAAGCAUUCUGGCUCAACCACAUCUCAUUUCAUCAGGCACCUGUAAACAC